AUACGGAGGAUCCGAGCGUUAUCCGGAAUUAUUGGGUUUAAAGGGUGCGCAGGCGGCCAUUUAAGUCAGCGGUUAAAUCGUGGGGCUCAACCCCAUUCUGCCGUUGAUACUGGGUGGCUUGAUUGCGGUCGAGGUUGGCGGAAUUCGUUGUGUAGCGGGGAAAUGCAUAGAUAUGACGAAGAACACCGAUUGCGUAGGCAGCUGACCAGACCGCAAAUGACGCUCAUGCACGAAAGUGCGGGGAUCGAACAGGAUUAGAUACCCUGGUAGUCCGCACCGUAAACGAUGAAUACUUGUUUUCGGCGAUAUAAUGUCGGAGGCAAAGCGAAAGCGAUAAGUAUUCCACCUGGGGAGUACGCCGGCAACGGUGAAACUCAAAUGAAUUGGCGGGG
rnacentral:rRNA from 1 species